rnacentral:rRNA from 1 species
ACGGGUGAGUAACGCGUGGGGACCUGCCUCGAAGUUCGGAAUAACCGCGGGAAACUGCGGCUAAUACCGGAUGUGGCCUGAGGGCCAAAGGGGAAACUCGCUUCGAGAGGGGCCCGCGUCCGAUUAGCUAGUUGGCGGGGUAACGGCCCACCAAGGCGACGAUCGGUAGCUGGUCUGAGAGGAUGAUCAGCCACACUGGGACUGAGACACGGCCCAGACUCCUACGGGAGGCAGCAGUGGGGAAUAUUGGACAAUGGGGGCAACCCUGAUCCAGCAAUGCCGCGUGAGUGAUGAAGGCCUUCGGGUUGUAAAGCUCUUUUGGCGGGGACGAUGAUGACGGUACCCGCAGAAUAAGCCCCGGCUAACUUCGUGCCAGCAGCCGCGGUAAUACGAAGGGGGCUAGCGUUGUUCGGAAUUACUGGGCGUAAAGGGCGCGUAGGCGGUCCUGAUCGUCGGAUGUGAAAGGCCUGGGCUCAACCUGGGAACUGCAUCCGAUACGGCGGGACUGGAGUGUGGGAGAGGUUGGUGGAAUUCCCAGUGUAGAGGUGAAAUUCGUAGA